GGCUGAUAUGGAUCUGGGAGUCUGAUAUGGGUCUUGGACGCUGAUAUGCAUCUAGGAAGUUGUAUGAGUCUUGGACGCAGGUAUGCGUCUAGGAGGCGGAUAUGGCCCUGGAUAACUGAUAUGGGUCUAGGAAGCUGAUAUGGGUCUAGGAAGCUGAUAUGGCCCAGGAAAGCUGAUAUGGAUCUUGGAAGCUGAUAUGGGUCUAGGGACACUGAUGUGGCCGUGGCAGGUUCACUAAUCUAUGACUUUGUGAGCAGCAUUUUCAGCCCCGCCAC